rnacentral:rRNA from 1 species
GGGUGCGAUCAUACCAGCACUAAUGCACCGGAUCCCAUCAGAAACCUUGAAGUUAAGCGUGCUUGGCCGAUGACUAGCUCCAAGAUGGGUUUUGUCAC